UUUUUCCAACGUCGGUUAAGCCUAACCGUCCGUUAACUUUUCAGAAUAGCCAACUUCGAAACUUGUAACUAAAAUACACGUCAUCGAUUCUAACUGAUCCUAACCUGUAAUCUUUUAGCACGGUGACGGCACGUUAAAUACACAAUAAAAAGAAAGUGAUAUAAAAGUGAAAGAGUAUAUAAAUAUAUUAACAAUUAAAAAUAGAUAACAAUGCAACGAUCAAGAAACUUCACAACUAGUGAUAAAAAUAGUUUAUUAGACAUUAUUUUUUAUAUCGACACAUAAUAGAAAAUAAAGAAUGCAAUAAUAAUAUAAUUUUAAAAAAGAUGAAACGUGGGCAAAUGUUACAAAGGAAUUUAAUGCACGUAAUACGAUACAACGAACAGAAAAAAAUUUAAAAUAUUUAUGGGAUAAUAUAAAAAAAGAAACAAGAAAAUAUUGCGCUACAUUUAAGCGAGAAAUUUAUAAAACAGGUGGAGGUGUGUCUAAUUUAGAAAAAAAUAUGUUAUAUGAACGAGCUAAAGAAAUUAUGGGGGAAACAGCAACAAAUGGAUUAUUAAAUCCCUAUGAUUCAGAUUUCAUUUAUAAUAAAGAAAACAUUAUAACAGUUGAUGAUAUUUUACAAGAUACAAAUGAUGAAAGCAAUUCAACUGAAGUAUUUACACAUUUAAUAAAGAAUAAAGAAAUUAA
rnacentral:lncRNA from 1 species